rnacentral:rRNA from 1 species
UGGGGAAUUUUGGACAAUGGGCGAAAGCCUGAUCCAGCAAUGCCGCGUGUGUGAAGAAGGCCUUCGGGUUGUAAAGCACUUUUGUCCGGAAAGAAAUCCUUGGCUCUAAUACAGUCGGGGGAUGACGGUACCGGAAGAAUAAGCACCGGCUAACUACGUGCCAGCAGCCGCGGUAAUACGUAGGGUGCAAGCGUUAAUCGGAAUUACUGGGCGUAAAGCGUGCGCAGGCGGUUUGCUAAGACCGAUGUGAAAUCCCCGGGCUCAACCUGGGAACUGCAUUGGUGACUGGCAGGCUAGAGUAUGGCAGAGGGGGGUAGAAUUCCACGUGUAGCAGUGAAAUGCGUAGAGAUGUGGAGGAAUACCGAUGGCGAAGGCAGCCCCCUGGGCCAAUACUGACGCUCAUGCACGAAAGCGUGGGGAGCAAAACAGGAUUAGAUACCCUGGUAGUCCACGCCCUAAACGAUGUCAACUAGUUGUUGGGGAUUCAUUUCCUUAGUAACGUAGCUAACGCGUGAAGUUGACCGCCUGGGGAGUACGGUCGCAAGAUUAAAACUUAAAGGAAUUGACGGGGUCAUAGCUUUUUCC